rnacentral:snRNA from 1 species
UUAAGAAGUGUUAACAAUGAG